ACGGAGAAUUUAUUUCGGUAAAUUCUUAGUGGCGAACGGGUGAGUAACGCGUAGGCAACCUGCCCUUUGGAUGGGGACAACAUUCCGAAAGGAGUGCUAAUACCGAAUGUGAUCCAUUUCUCGCAUGAGAGAUGGAUGAAAGAUGGCCUCUAUUUAUAAGCUAUCGCCAAAGGAUGGGCCUGCGUCUGAUUAGUUAGUUGGUGGGGUAACGGCUCACCAAGACGAUGAUCAGUAGCCGGUCUGAGAGGAUGAACGGCCACAUUGGGACUGAGACACGGCCCAAACUCCUACGGGAGGCAGCAGUGGGGAAUCUUCCGCAAUGGACGAAAGUCUGACGGAGCAACGCCGCGUGAGUGAUGAAGGUUUUCGGACUGUAAAACUCUGUUGUCAGGGACGAAGGUGCGAUCUGCGAAUAGUUGAUCGUAUUGACGGUACCUGACGAGGAAGCCACGGCUAACUACGUGCCAGCAGCCGCGGUAAUACGUAGGUGGCAAGCGUUGUCCGGAAUUAUUGGGCGUAAAGAGCAUGUAGGUGGGCUUUUAAGUCCGAUGUGAAAAUGCGGGGCUCAACCCCGUAUGGCAUUGGAUACUGGAAGUCUUGAGUGCAGGAGAGGAAAGGGGAAUUCCCAGUGUAGCGGUGAAAUGCGUAGAUAUUGGGAGGAACACCAGUGGCGAAGGCGCCUUUCUGGACUGUGUCUGACACUGAGAUGCGAAAGCUAGGGUAGCAAACGGGAUUAGAUACCCCGGUAGUCCUAGCCGUA
rnacentral:rRNA from 1 species